CCAAAAGCGAAGGCAAUCUUCUGGAACAUUACUGACGCUGAGGCGCGAAAGCGUGGGGAGCAAGCAGGAUUAGAUACCCUGGUAGUCCACGCCCUAAACGAUGAAUGUUAGUCGUCGGGUAGCUAGUCUAUUCGGUGAUGCAGCUAACGCAUUAAACAUUCCGCCUGGGGAGUACGGUCGCAAGAUUAAAACUCAAAGGAAUAGACGGGGACCCGCACAAGUGGUGGAGCAUGUGGUUUAAUUCGAAGAUACGCGAAGAACCUUACCUAGCCUUGACAUAUAUUAGAACUCAGCAGAGAUGCAGAGGUGCCUUCGGGAGCUUUUAUACAGGUGCUGCACGGCUGUCGUCAGCUCGUGUCGUGAGAUGUUGGGUUAAGUCCCGCAACGAGCGCAACCCUCGUCACUAGUUACUAACGGUUCGGCCGAGGACUCUAGUGAGACUGCCUUCGUAAGGAGGAGGAAGGUGAGGACGACGUCAAGUCAUCAUGGCCCUUACGGCUAGGGCAACACACGUGCUACAAUGGCCAGGACAGUGAGACGCAAUACCGCGAGGUGGAGCAAAUCUAUAAACCUGGUCUCAGUUCGGAUUGUAGUCUGCAACUCGACUACAUGAAGCUGGAAUCACUAGUAAUCGUAGAUCAGCUAUGCUAUCGGUGAAUACGUUCCCGGGUCUUGUACUCACCGCCCGUCACACCAUGGGAGUUGAUUUCACCCGAAGCGGGGAAGCUAAACU
rnacentral:rRNA from 1 species